rnacentral:rRNA from 1 species
GACGAACGCUGGCGGCGUGCCUAACACAUGCAAGUCGAACGAGGUCCAUGAGAGCUUGCUCUCAGAAGACCUAGUGGCGAACGGGUGAGUAACACGUGAGAAACCUGCCUCGGAGUGGGGAAUAACUCGGGGAAACUCGAGCUAAUACCGCAUAUCUUCACAUGAUCGCAUGGUCGAGUGAAGAAAGAUUUCGCUCUGAGAGGGUCUCGCGGCCUAUCAGCUUGUUGGUGGGGUAACGGCCCACCAAGGCAACGACGGGUAGCUGGUUUGAGAGAACGAUCAGCCACACUGGGACUGAGACACGGCCCAGACUCCUACGGGAGGCAGCAGUGGGGAAUCUUGCGCAAUGGGCGAAAGCCUGACGCAGCAACGCCGCGUGCGGGAUGACGGGCCUUCGUGGGUUGUAAACCGGCUUUCAGCAGGGACGAAAUGACGGUACCUGCAGAAGAAGCCCCGGCUAACUACGUGCCAGCAGCCGC